AGGUCAUUAGUUCAGCGGCUAGAAUGUCCGACUCCAAAUCGGACGACGUUGGUUCGAGUCCAGCAUGACCUGCCA
rnacentral:tRNA from 1 species